UCAUGGCAGCCGUCAACAGGAUUGCGAUCCGGCAUCCAAGACCAUAGUUCCUUUUUUUACGGAAAAAUCAUAAGGGGACGAUGCCCCUGCCUGUCUUUUUAUAUAAUUUUAUUUUAAUUCAGAUCCCUUUUUAAUUCGAUCGAGGGCAGCUCUAGCGUGUGGAGAAAGCGAAACCAUUGAAAAAUAUAAGGAGACGAUGCCCCUGCCUGUCUUUUUAUAUAAUUUUUUUAAUUCAGAACCGGUUUUAAUUCGAUCUCAUGAGCAGUAGAAUCUAGACUCGUUGGAUGCUCUAAUCAGAGGUCUUUUCACAUGCUCCGUAAUUCCUUAAGAAACCAAUUUUGGAAUUACUUUAGAAAAGAUAGCACUUUUUUCUUAAUAAACCUGCUUUAUGGAAAUAGUUUUUUAUUUUUAAUUAUUAUUUCCCUUAAGAAACCCAUCUAUGGAAACUGCAUUUUCACAUGCAGCUCCUUAUGGGCACUGUAGUGUUUUUUUUUCAUGGGCAGGGUCAGCGUCCAAAUAAAUAUUGCUAGUAGAGAGGCCAGCCCAAAAUUAACGAGAGACAAAAUAAAGGGACGGUCCACGAUGGCUUCUGGUUCGAUCCAAGGCCUCCACAUGUUUUUUGUAGAGCUUUACUCACAUGACAAAAUAUAAAAACAAAAUAAGCCCACUGGUUACUGUUUGGGCCUCCAGAGAAGGCUGGUUCUAUUUCUUCUGUAUUAGAGAAAUAAGCACAUGUUCUUUAUUUUUAGGCGUAAGAAUCACAUGUUCUUAUGCGCCGCUUCAUAAAUCAACAGAUUAUUGGGUUAAAUAAUCAGAUUUUGAUAGCAAUUCAAAUGUUACUGGUAUACUAUCAGUACUAAGAUUUGAGAUUGCGAAACAUUAAUGUGGGAGAGGGCAAGGAUCCACAAUGUCAUAUUUAACUCUUAUUUGAAUCUUACAAGAUUUGCAACCUUUUCACUGAGAUAUGAAAACAUCAAUGCAGGCAUUUUCAACCUGAUUCGACUGUGCCUCUAUAUUAAACAGCAAAGAAGUCGAGCAAUAGCAUUGGACACGAAAAUAGAUUCUUUUAAAAAAAAAAGAACAUAGUCAGGCAGACCUGGUUCAGUUCUCCUCCAUGGCAGCCGUCAUCAGCAGGAUUGGGUCGUUCCGGCUCGUGUGCUCUGUAAUUGCUGUCUCCAUGGCUCUUCUGAUCAUGUCCUCCCAUGCAGGUCAUGGCACUUUCAUGUGCAAAGAUUUAGGAGAAGGUCACACCUGCGACAUGGAACUGUGCGUGAAAGAAUGCCUGAGCGAGUUCGGCGUGCCCAAGGUAAACGGCGUCGAUUGCACGAAAGAUCCGCGCAAGUGCUGCUGCCUAGUCAAAGAUCCACGCAAAUAGAAUACGAAUGGUCGAUUGAUGACCCAAACAUUUCUUUGCUUAUUAAGUGAACACUAUAUAAGCUUGUGGUGGCUAAGUCUGUUCAUGUAUUUCUUCAAAAAAAAGUCUGUUCAUGUAAUCCAUCAGCUGGCUCCUGCAUGUGAUAUUUCCACCGUGGGACUCAAUAAAAUAUAAUUAUGUAAA